UACGGAGGGGGCUAGCGUUGUUCGGAAUUACUGGGCGUAAAGCGCACGUAGGCGGCUUUGUAAGUUAGAGGUGAAAGCCCGGGGCUCAACUCCGGAAUUGCCUUUAAGACUGCAUCGCUAGAAUUGUGGAGAGGUAAGUGGAAUUCCGAGUGUAGAGGUGGAAUUUGUAGAUAUUCGGAAGAACACCAGUGGCGAAGGCGACUUACUGGACACAUAUUGACGCUGAGGUGCGAAAGCGUGGGGAGCAAACAGG
rnacentral:rRNA from 1 species